rnacentral:rRNA from 1 species
CGCUACCAUGCAGUUCGCACGAGAAAGUGGAGCAAUCCAUGAGUAAAGUGGCGCUACGGGUGAGUAACACGUGGGUCAUGCACCUCUUAGUGGGGAAUAACCCUGGGAAACCGGGGCUAAUACCGCAUAAGUCCGAGAGGAGAAAGCAGCAAUGCGCUGAGAGAGCAGCCCGCGGCUGAUUAGCUAGUUGGUGGGGUAAAAGCUCACCAAGGCGAAGAUCAGUAGCCGGCCUGAGAGGGCACACGGCCACACUGGCACUGAAACACGGGCCAGACUCCUACGGGAGGCAGCAGUGGGGAAUCUUGCACAAUGGGGGAAACCCUGAUGCAGCGACGCCGCGUGAGCGAUGAAGCCCUUCGGGGUGUAAAGCUCUUUCGACGGGAACGAUAAUGACGGUACCCGGAGAAGAAGCUGCGGCUAACUACGUGCCAGCAGCCGCGGUAAUACGUAGGCAGCAAGCGUUGUUCGGAAUUACUGGGCGUAAAGCGUGCGUAGGCGGCGCUACAAGUUUGGUGUGAAAUCUCCCGGCUUAACUGGGAGGGUGCGCCGAAAACUGUGGUGCUAGAGUGUGGGAGAGGUAAGCGGAAUUCCUGGUGUAGCGGUGAAAUGCGUAGAUAUCAGGAGGAACACCGGCGGUGUAGACGGCUUACUGGACCAUGACUGACGCUGAGGCACGAAAGUGUGGGGAGCAAACAGGAUUAGAUACCCUGGUAGUCCACACCCUAAACGAUGCAUACUUGGUGUGAGCCAUUCAUUUGGUUCGUGCCGGAGCUAACGCGUUAAGUAUGCCGCCUG